rnacentral:tRNA from 1 species
UGUAGCUCAGUUGGUAGAGUGCUUGCCUCGCAUGCACAAGGCCCUGGGUUUAAUCCCCAGCA